CCGGAGGGCUGGCUAUGCGGCGACGUUGGUGAUGCCCCAGGAGCGCUCGGCGAGGCGGACGCAGUCGUGGAAUCGGAAGCAGUCUACGAGGUGGUCGAUGGCCAUGCCGGCGGCCUGCAUGAAGGAGUAGACGAUGACGGGGCCGACGAGGCGGAACCCGCGGCGGACGAGGUCCUUGCUCACCGCCUCCGACUUGGGCGUCCGGAACGGGAUGUACUUGUGGUGCCGGUACUUGCCCACCACCGGCCGGUGGUUCACGUGGCCCCACAUGUAGCCGCUGAAGGAGCCGAACUCC
rnacentral:lncRNA from 1 species